UCCGAUCUAGACAUUUUACCGGGGCGCUUUAAAAAUAUUUUAUUGCAUAUUUUGGCUGUACCAGAACAGAAGCUGGCUGAAAUUUCAUCAAGCUGUACAAUACACUAUAUAAGGAGACAUACAGUACAGUAUACAAUGCCGAGUAUAUAAGGAGCCGCAUCGUCGAUGGAAGUCAUUUCAGUGAAGUAAAGUUCAGAACAUUGGCGCGAGUUUUAAAAGGUUUUAAAUAAAUACAAUAAAAAUAAAUAUCUCUAGUAGUCGAGAGUGAUCAUAUUUUCAUAAUGUAAAUAACUUAGUUUUCUAUCAUCGA